rnacentral:lncRNA from 1 species
UCCUAUAGAAGGUAAUAUUUUCUACUUUUACUUUAACAACUCCUUCAUCAACUGAUAACCACAAUGUGCAACCCUGCACUCUCAAAAAACUGCUCAAAAUUCAAUAAAUUCCAUCCAACACCAAGAAUAACAAACUUCAUUCCAACCAAUCUGAAUUCACAGAAUUCCUGUAAUCAAAGACUUCUUCUGUCGAAACACACACACACAACUCUCAAUAAACAACAAUCAUAAUCUUCCAUCUAUAAUCAAUCUUCUAAUAACUUCUCAUAUAAUUCAAUCACUCAGUACUCCAAUUACAUAAUCAAUAACUCAUAAAUCAAUCUCUGAUUUAUUCCACAGACUCACUUCUCAGUAUUUAGAAAGUAUCCAUUAUUCUUCAACAACAAAAAAAACAAAAGAAACAAAGAGGAAGCACCAAGCUUAAUCCCGGCUCAUGGCUAUCAUAGUCUGGCCCCCCAAAAAUUUUCUACAACUCCUAUAUAAUUACUACUGAUUUCCUGAUUCUAACCAUGAUCCUAUAAUAACCGCUUUUAAUAACUGAAUCAAUCAUCUGUCCCCCUAAACUGACUAUUCUAUAAACUAUUAAUCUAUUUUACUAAUAUCUUAUAUAAAUGAAUUAAUAUCUAUUCUAUAAAAUCCUAAAUCAAAUCUUAACUAAAUCCUAAAUAAUCUUAAAUCUUAAAGAAAUCCUAAAUUCUAACCAAUUCCUAAAUCCUAAACUAAAUCCUAAUCAAAUUAAUCUAAUCCUAAGGUAAUUUAGAAUUUCAAUAUCUUACUUAAGAUUUUAAAUACUUCUCAACAAUUAAGUUGGCAACGAGUAUACAAAAUUUGAAGAAGAUCAAACUCAC